CCCACAAUUUCAUCAACAUGUUUGUUUUCAUGUUAACAUUUAAAAUUCUAAAUCGAGUCAAAAAUCCAACAGAUGUCUUACAGAAACUGGUUUUUUUUUUCUUUGUAGGUGCUUCUUCCUUGGAACAAGAGGAUCUCAUGAUUUGACAGAAUAUGUUUUGAAUACCCAAGGAGGGCCUCCUUUUGAAGGCUUACACUGCAGCGUCUCUCAAGAUUUGAGUUUACUCAGAAAAGAAAGGAAACAAGAAUGGCCUGCACACAGAAAGAUAAUGGCCCAUUUUGCAGUCAAAAGAAUAAAAAAAGAGAGACAUUUUGGCAUCUCUAUGCCACGGUGCCUGUUGAAGCUCACUUGCAAAUGGGAAGAUGCCAAGUUAUCCAUCCUACAGAACAGACUUCAGGGUUGCUUGAGUUAAGUUAAAGACUAAACUAUCAUAUAUAAUCUUUUCACUUUCAUUCGGAGAAUAUUUUUCAUUGAUCUUGACAAAGUUUGUUUUCCUAUUUUCUGUUUCCUUUCUUUGGAGAAAAAGGAUACUUUUUCAGAAAAAGGCUCUGAUGUGAUUUCAGCAUGGCCACCAUGGUCUCAUCUGAUUGGAGGCAGAGGUUUGUGCGAGCACAGGCAUCAGUAAAGUACUUGGAAAAGAGAACUGCAAGAUGUCAAAAUCCCAUCUACACAAUGUUUCUCCUUUGAGAUCUUCUCUAAAAUAUGAAUUUCUGUGGGUUAUUCAGAAUUCAUUUGAUACUCUACAUCAUUCACAGCACUUCACUAUUUCUGAUAGCUUAUGUAUGUUUAUAGCUGUGCAUCUAAUAAUUAGUGAAAGGACAUAACUAUAGUGUGAAAUUAGAUAAAUCUAGUUUUUUCAAAUCAUUGUUUUAGUUUCUCUAUUCUAAAAUGUGAGUUGAAAAAUGUGCACUUACCCAAGAGUAAAACUAAUAACACUUUUUGUAGCCUGAUGUUUGAUAGAAGAAAGAAAUCCUUCAAUAGUUCCUGUGUUUAUAAGGCUAAGGUGUCACUAAAGCUAGUAUUAUCAGCAGUGUACGAUUAAAAGCACUCCUGGUAAAUCUUUUUCUUAAACAUAGUCUUCUUCCACAUACACUUCAUCUGUUCAUAAGGUUUCAAAUUCCCUGAAUUAGUAGAAAAAAAUCUUUUAUUCCCCAAUUAUAAGUAAGUUUUCAAAAGGAAAUAGAGUGUAGGGUUUAAAUAUUUCAAAUUCAUAUUAAAGUGUAAAGGCCUAACACCAGAGUCUUUCCACAAAGCAGGAAUCCUUUGCUUCUUACUCAGGGGACUUGAAAAUGGUCUGUUUUAUAAGAAGGCCUAGUGAAAAUUUGAUCUGUGGUUCACUGCUUUCUUUCUGUGUAACUCUGUUUGUGUCUUGAAUUAACAGAUUGACUUUAUAUAUCAUCAGUAACACAUUCAUCACUUCUGCGUGUUAUCUCUUAGAUUUUGGAUAAUGUGUGGAAUUGAAAUAAUUAUAACUCAGGCUAUUUUGUUAAAGAUUAAAAACACAUGAUUUGAAACUUACCUUAAAAAAGACAACAUUUGGAACUUGUUAUCUUUGUAUGCAGAGUUUCUUUUUAAAAAGACAACCGUAUGGGACUCAAAUGCUCUGACUGACCUAAGAGAGCAAUAAUAGGCUUAAUGCUGUUCUUUCCUCACAUGGCUUUCCUGGCCAGAGCCUGUGUUCACAGGAAAACAAAUGACUUCAUAGAUGGAGCGGCUCCACAUUAAGAAGUGCAACAAGAGUUAUGAAAUGCAGUCAAAACAGGGAAAGAAAUUUGUUUGAAUUUGGAUGACAACCUUUUGUUUCUGAGGUGCACAGGGUGGGUCAGGUUAAUAAGUGCUUUUAUUAUGGUCCUGUGGGUAAAUACUGGCCUCCCUGCCAUCAGCCUCCUUUAAUUCUUUUUGUUCUUGGUUUUUGGCAGGAUCUCCAAGUCAUGUGAUAUGCCUGAGGCUACCAGGUGAGUAUGCUUUUUGGCCUGUGUUUGAUUCCAGGAAGCAGGACUUCCUGGUUCUUUUAGAGAAUUCACUCCUGAAGCCUCCUCAGUGGUUUGUAGCUAUUUGUCUGUGUCGA
rnacentral:lncRNA from 1 species